rfam:Triticum aestivum genome assembly, contig: Triticum_aestivum_CS42_TGACv1_scaffold_404170_5BL
UAUUUACUCCCUCCGUCCGAGAAAGCUUGUCCCUCAAAUGGAUGUAUCUAGCAGGGUGCUAGAUACAUCCAUUUGAGGGACAAGCGUGGGACAAGUUUUUUCGGACGGAGGGAGUAAUAC